UUAUGUGAUCGUCUCUCGCAUAUCAAUAAGCGGAGGAAAAGAAACUAACAAGGAUUCCCCUAGUAACGGCGAGUGAAGCGGGAAGAGCUCAAAUUUGAAAUCUUAAAGGGUUUCCCUUUACGAAUUGUAGUUUAAAGAAGUGUUUUCUGUUGAGGUUUUGGUAAAAGUUCUUUGGAAUAGGACAUCAUAGAGGGUGAGAAUCCCGUAUUUGACCUUUACUUUCAACUUUGUGAUACACUUUCAAAGAGUCGGAUUGUUUGGGAAUGCAGUCCAAAAUGGGUGGUAAAUUUCAUCUAAAGCUAAAUAUUGGCGAGAGACCGAUAGCGAACAAGUACCGUGAGGGAAAGAUGAAAAGAACUUUGAAAAGAGAGUUAAACAGUACGUGAAAUUGUCAAAAGGGAAGCGUUUGACACCAGUGUUGUUUUUCUGAAAAUCAAUUAAAGAACUGUUUAUGCUAAGUUGUUUAGACUUUAUCAGCUAUCUGUUUAGUUUUAGGCUUUUCUUUAAUGCACUUUUCAGUUAACAAGUCAACAUCAAUUUCUUUUGCUGUAAAAAAGCUUGAGGAAGGUGGCUUGAGAUUCGUCUUAAGUGUUUAUAGCCUCUUGCCUAUGCAGUCGGAGAGAUUGAGGUCUGCAGCGUAGAUCCUUCGGGGCUAAAUGCAUUUGUGCUAAGUUAUAGCAUUUUAUAGACAAUUUGUUGACUAUGAUUUGUCUUGUAGCUUACUCGCUUAUGUUAUUUUACCUACGCUUAGGAUGUUGAUCUACAGAGCGAGAGU
rnacentral:rRNA from 1 species